GAAAUGCGAUAAGUAAUGUGAAUUGCAGAAUUCAGUGAAUCAUCGAAUCUUUGAACGCACAUUGCGCCUUCUGGUAUUCCGGGGGGCAUGCCUGUUCGAGCGUCAUUAUAACCACUCAAGCUCUCGCUUGGUAUUGGGGUUCGCGGUUUCGCGGCCCCUAAAAUCAGUGGCGGUGCCUGUCGGCUCUACGCGUAGUAAUACUUCUCGCGAUUGAGUUCGAUAGGUCUACUUGCCAGUAACCCCCAAUUUUUACAGGUUGACCUCGGAUCAGGUAGGGAUACCCGCUGAACUUAA
rnacentral:misc_RNA from 1 species